UUGAAUAAAUCUGACUUGGGUUGUAGCUGGCUCUCUGGAGCAUGUGCACGCUCUUGUCACCUUUAUCUUUCCACCUGUGCACACACUGUAGUCCUGGAUACCUCUCGCCUGUCACAGGGCGGAUGCGGAGAUUGCUGCUGCCUUUCAGUAGGCUCGGCUUCCUCUGAAUUUCCAGGUCUAUGAUUUUUCUUACACACCCCAAACGAAUGUUAUAGAAUGUAUUCAUUGGGCCUCUGUGCCUAUAAAAUCAAUA
rnacentral:misc_RNA from 1 species